rnacentral:rRNA from 1 species
CGUGAUGCCGGGCCUACGGGCCAGAAGUGAACUAGUCCUACCGCCAAGAAAAGCUGCUAAGCAAUGAAACCAACCGACCGUACCGCAAACCGACACUGGUAGACGGGUAGAGCAUACCAAGGCGAACGAGAGAACCCUCGUUAAGGAACUAGGCAAAAUGGCUCCGUAACUUCGGGAGAAGGAGCGCCUCUCGCAAGAGAGGUCACAGUGAAAUGGCCCUGCCGACUGUUUAACAAAAACACAGGUCUCUGCAAACGCGAAAGCGGAAGUAUAGGGGCUGACACCUGCCCAGUGCCGGAAGGUUAAAGGGAAGGGUUAGCACGUAAGUGCGAAGCUCAGAACUGAAGCCCCGGUGAACGGCGGCCGUAACUAUAACGGUCCUAAGGUAGCGAAAUUCCUUGUCGGGUAAGUUCCGACCCGCACGAAUGGUGUAACGAGUGGGGCGCUGUCUCAACGAGGGACCCGGCGAAAUUGAAGUACGCGUAAAGAUGCGCGUUACCCGCAGCAGGACAAAAAGACCCCGUGGAGCUUUACUGUAGCUUGCUAUUGCGUUAGGGUAUUAUCUGUGCAGGAUAGCUGGGAGGCUGAGAAGCUGGCACGUCAGUGUCGGUGGAGCCAACGUUGAGAUACCAGCCUGAUGAUGCCUUGGCCCUAACCUGCGUCCGUGAAACCGGCGUGGAGACAGUGGCAGGUGGGCAGUUUGACUGGGGCGGUCGCCUCCUAAAGAGUAGCGGAGGCGCCCAAAGGUUCCCUCAGGUUGAAUGGAAACCAACCGUAGAGUGUAAAGGCACAAGGGAGCUUGACUGCAAGGCAUACACGCCGAGCAGAGACGAAAGUCGGGCUUAGUGAUCCCACGACUCAGAGUGGAAUGGUCGUGGCUUACCGGAUAAAAGCUACCCCGGGGAUAACAGGCUAGUCUUGUCCAAGAGUUCACAUCGACGACAAGGCUCGGCACCUCGAUGUCGGCUCAUCGCAUCCUGGGGCUGGAUAAGGUCCCAAGGGUUGGGCUGUUCGCCCAUUAAAGCGGUACGUGAGCUGGGUUCAGACCGUCGUGAGACAGGUCGGUCUCUAUCCGCUGUGGGCGUAAGGAAAUUGAGAGGGCCUGCCCCUAGUACGAGAGGACCGGGGUGGACAGAGCGCUCGUGUGUCAGUUGUGGCGCCAGCCGCAUUGCUGAGUAGCGACCUCUGGUUGAGAUAACCGCUGAAAGCAUCUAAGCGGGAAACUCGCCUCAAGAUAAGUUUCCUCUUCCCUUUAUGGGAGUAAGACCGCUGGUAGACUACCAGUUUGAUAGGUCGGACGUGUAAGCGUAGCAAUACGUUCAGCGAACCGAUACUAAUGGUCGAGCGGCUUUACUCU